rnacentral:rRNA from 1 species
AGUGAACGCUGGCGGCGUGCUUAACACAUGCAAGUCGAACGAGAACGGAAUAUAGCUUGCUAUAUUUGUCAGCUAAGUGGCGCACGGGUGAGUAAUGUAUAGAUAACCUGCCCUCAAGAAAGGAAUAACAGUUGGAAACGACUGCUAAUGCCCUAUAUGCCUUUAAUACAUAAGUAUGCAAGGGAAACGCUUUAGUGCUUAAGGAUUGGUCUGUAUGGUAUCAGCUUGUUGGUGAGGUAAUGGCUCACCAAGGCUAUGACGCCUAACUGGUUUGAGAGGAUGAUCAGUCACACUGGAACUGAGACACGGUCCAGAGUCCUACGGGAGGCAGCAGUGGGGAAUAUUGCACAAUGGACGAAAGUCUGAUGCAGCAACGCCGCGUGGAGGAUGACACAUUUCGGUGCGUAAACUCCUUUUAUAUAGGAAGAUAAUGACGGUACUAUAUGAAUAAGCACCGGCUAACUCCGUGCCAGCCGCCGCGGUAA